rnacentral:misc_RNA from 1 species
AAGUCGUAACAAGGUCUCCGUAGGUGAACCUGCGGAGGGAUCAUUAACACGUAUCCACGUAUCAACCAACCGGUAAUUGUAUCUCCCUGGUAAAUGUUGAGCUGUUUAAUCGACUCAUGGUGGGUAUGCACUUCGGUGUAUACGAAUCGGUUAGACUCGGGCUUCGAGCUCAAGGCGCGACGCUUUAUCAGGCUUUCUUUCCCAUCAUGCCUUUCUACCUUAAGGCACGCUGUGGAUUUAACAAACCUAUUUCACCCUAACUAUAAACAUUUGACUAAUACUAUUCACUUGGAGAAAUCCAAGCCUGAAUUGAGUUAUCUUAACUAAGCACAACUCUUAGCAAUGGAUAUCUUGGUUCUC